rnacentral:rRNA from 1 species
UAGGGAAUCUUCGGCAAUGGGGGGAACCCUGACCGAGCAACGCCGCGUGAGUGAAGAAGGUUUUCGGAUCGUAAAGCUCUGUUGUUAAGGAAGAACGAGUGUGAGAAUGGAAAGUUCAUGCUGUGACGGUACUUAACCAGAAAGGGACGGCUAACUACGUGCCAGCAGCCGCGGUAAUACGUAGGUCCCGAGCGUUGUCCGGAUUUAUUGGGCGUAAAGCGAGCGCAGGCGGUUAGAAAAGUCUGAAGUGAAAGGCAGUGGCUCAACCAUUGUAGGCUUUGGAAACUGUUUAACUUGAGUGCAGAAUGGGAGAGUGGAAUUCCAUGUGUAGCGGUGAAAUGCGUAGAUAUCUGGAGGAUCACCGGUGGCGAAAGCGGCUCUCUGGUCUGUAACUGACGCUGAGGCUCGAAAGCGUGGGGAGCGAACAGG